rnacentral:rRNA from 1 species
AUAUUGGACAAUGGGCGAAAGCCUGAUCCAGCCAUCCCGCGUGUGUGAAGAAGGUAUUCGGAUGGUAAAGCAAUUUAGGUUGGGAGGAAGGGCGGUAAGUUAAUACCUUGCUUUUUUGACGUUACCGCCAGAAUAAGCACCGGCUAACUUCGUCUCAGCAGCCGCGGUAAUACGAAGGGUGCAAGCGUUAAUCGGAAUUACUGGGCGUAAAGCGCGCGUAGGUGGUUCGUUAAGUUGGAAGUGAAAGCCCCGGGCUUAACCUGGGAAUUGCUUUCAAAACUGACGAGCUAGAGUACGGUAGAGGGUAGUGGAAUUUCCUGUGUAGCGGUGAAAUGCGUAGAUAUAGGAAGGAACAUCAGUGGCGAAGGCGACUACCUGGACUGAUACUGACACUGAGGUGCGAAAGCGUGGGGAGCAAACAGG